rnacentral:rRNA from 1 species
UGAGUUUGAUUAUGGCUCAGAUUGAACGCUGGCGGCAUGCUUAGCACAUGCAAGUCGAACGCGAAAGGGUUUCGGCCUGAGUAGAGUGGCGGACGGGUGAGUAAUGCAUGAGAAUCUGCCUGGCAGAGGGGGAUAACCCGGGGAAACUCGGGCUAAUACCGCAUACGCCCUACGGGGGAAAGGGGGCUGAGAGGCUCUCGUUGUCAGAUGAGCUCAUGUCCGAUUAGCUAGUUGGUGGGGUAAGGGCCNNNNAAGGCGACGAUCGGUAGCUGGUCUGAGAGGAUGGCCAGCCACACUGGGACUGAGACACGGCCCAGACUCCUACGGGAGGCAGCAGUGGGGAAUAUUGGACAAUGGGCGCAAGCCUGAUCCAGCGAUGCCGCGUGGGUGAAGACGGCCUGCGGGUUGUAAAGCCCUUUCGAUGGGGAAGAAAGGCCGGCGGUGAAGAGCUGCGGGUGUUGACGUUACCCAUAGAAGAAGCACCG